rnacentral:rRNA from 1 species
CAUUACUGAACUGUCGACAGAAGUUGUUGCUGGUCCUCAGAUGGGGGCAUGUGCACGCUCUGUUUACACUCCACUCACACCUGUGCACCCUCCGUAGUUCUGUGGCUUGGGGGCUCUGCCCCCCUGCUGUGGUUCUACGUCUUUACACACACACCGUAACGAAGUCUCAUGGAAUGUAUGCCGCGUUUAACGCAAUGAAAUACAACUUUCAGCAACGGAUCUCUUGGCUCUCGCAUCGAUGAAGAACGCAGCGAAAUGCGAUAAGUAAUGUGAAUUGCAGAAUUCAGUGAAUCAUCGAAUCUUUGAACGCACCUUGCGCCCUUUGGCUAUUCCGAAGGGCAUGCCUGUUUGAGUAUCAUGAGCACCUCAACUCUUCAUGGCUUUGCCUGUGAUGAGCUUGGACUUUGGGGGUCUUUGCUGGCUUACGGUCAGCUCCUCUCAAACGAAUCAGCUUGCCAGUGUUUGGUGGCAUCACAGGUGUGAUAACUAUCUGCGCUUGUGGUUUUCCACCAGAUAACCUUCAGUGAAUGGAGGUUCGCUGGAGCUCAUAAACGUCUCUCCUCAGCGAGGACAGCACUUUGAAUGUUUGAUCUCAAAUCAGGUAGGACUACCCGCUGAACUUAA